rnacentral:lncRNA from 1 species
AUGAUGGCCUUUUUAUCCUUAUAUGUGUGGAAGUAUAUGACAGUAAUGGGAUCUCUUUAUUAUUUAGUUCAUCUAAGUGUUCUCUUUCAGCUUCAGAGAAAAAAAAGACAAAGGUUUCAUCUGUGUAGAAGGUGCUCAGUGGAAUGUUUUACCAGCUUGAACUGCAACUAUUUCCAUAUAAGAGCAGUGGAUUGCUUCUAUAUGAGACCAGAGUUUGUUCGGAGGUGAGUACCAUCUUCAGUGACUAGAAUAUUGCCUGGCGCACUGUCCUCAAGACACUCGAUAUAUUUUUUGUUAAACUACUUGACUAAAGCAACUUUGUAUUUUAAUAUAGGAAUUCCAAAGAGCCAAUAAAGAGAAUUCAUCAAGCUCUCUGAAUUGUAUG